AGAAAGGUAAGCUAACAAAGCUUUUGGGCCCAUACCCCAAGAAUGUUGGUUAAACUCCAACCCUUCCUA